AGAGUUUGAUCCUGGCUCAGGACGAACGCUGGCGGCAUGCCUAAGACAUGCAAGUCGAACGAGGUGGCCCAUUGAAGAAGGAGUGCUUGCACAAUUUUGGAUUUGGAUUCCCACCUAGUGGCGAACGGGUGAGUAACACGUGGGUAACCUACCUUUAAGCCUGGGAUAACAGUCGGAAACGAUUGCUAAUACCGGAUAUUAUGUAAGAAGAUAACUUCUUAUAUUAAAAGGCGCUUCAAAGCGCUGCUUAAAGAUGGGCCUGCGCUGCAUUAGCUAGUUGGUGGGGUAAUGGCCUACCAAGGCGACGAUGCAUAGCCGAGCUGAGAGGUUGAUCGGCCACACUGGGACUGAGACACGGCCCAGACUCCUACGGGAGACAGCAGUUAGGAAUAUUCGACAAUGGGGGAAACCCUGAUCGAGCGAUGCCGCGUGAGUGAUGACGGUCUAUAAGAUUGUAAAACUCUGUUGUUUGGGAAGAACGACCAAAGUAGGAAAUGACUUUGGCCUGACGGUACCAUUCCAGAAAGCCCCGGCUAACUAUGUGCCAGCAGCCGCGGUAAUACAUAGGGGGCGAGCGUUGUCCGGAUUUAUUGGGCGUAAAGAGUGCGCAGGCGGUUUGUUAAGUUUAAGGUUAAAUACUGAGGCUCAACUUCAGUUCGCCUUAAAAACUGGCAAACUCGAGUAUGGUAGAGGCAAGUGGAAUUUCUAGUGUAGCGGUAGAAUGCGUAGAUAUUAGAAGGAACACCAGUGGCGAAGGCGACUUGCUGGGCCAUUACUGACGCUCAUGCACGAAAGCGUGGGGAGCAAAUAGGAUUAGAUACCCUAGUAGUCCACGCCGUAAACGUUGAGUACUAAGUGUCGGGUUUCCGGUGCUGAAGUUAACACACUAAGUACUCCGCCUGAGUAGUACGGUCGCAAGGCUGAAACUCAAAGGAAUUGACGGGCACCCGCACAAGCGGUGGAGCAUGCUGUUUAAUUCGAAGAUACGCGAAGAACCUUACCUGGGUUUGACAUCUCUCAGAUCGCUCUAGAAAUAGAGUUUCCCUUCGGGGCUGAGAGACAGGUGGUGCAUGGUUGUCGUCAGCUCGUGUCGUGAGAUGUAGGGUUAAGUCCCAUAACGAGCGCAACCCUCGUCCUUAGUUACUAACAUUUAGUUGAGGACUCUAAGGAGACUGCCGGUGAUAAACCGGAGGAAGGUGGGGAGGACGUCAAAUCAUCAUGCCCCCUACGUCCAGGGCUACAAGCGUGCUACAAUGGCCGGUAUAAUAAGAUGCAAUAUCGUGAGAUGGAGCAAAUCUAGAAAAUCGGUCUCAGUUCGGAUUGAAGUCUGCAACUCGACUUCAUGAAGCAGGAAUCGCUAGUAAUCGCAAAUCAGAAUGUUGCGGUGAAUAAGUUCCCGGGUGUUGUACUCACCGCC
rnacentral:rRNA from 1 species